CAGAGCCGCGGUAAAACGUAGGUGGCAAGCGUUGUCCGGAAUUAUUGGGCGUAAAGGGCUCGCAGGCGGUUUCUUAAGUCUGAUGUGAAAGCCCCCGGCUCAACCGGGGAGGGUCAUUGGAAACUGGGAAACUUGAGUGCAGAAGAGGAGAGUGGAAUUCCACGUGUAGCGGUGAAAUGCGUAGAGAUGUGGAGGAACACCAGUGGCGAAGGCGACUCUCUGGUCUGUAACUGACGCUGAGGAGCGAAAGCGUGGGGAGCAAACAGGAUUAGAUACCCGUGUAGUCCCUGUCUCUUAUACA
rnacentral:rRNA from 1 species